CUUGGUCAUUUAGAGGAAGUAAAAGUCGUAACAAGGUUUCCGUAGGUGAACCAGCGGAGGGAUCAUUACAGAGUUGCAAAACUCCCAACCCUUUGUGAACGAACCUACCAGUUGCCUCGGCGGCGAGCCUUUCAGGCGGACCGCCGAAGGAAUACAAACUCUUUGCAUUAUAGUAUCUCUGAUUACUUAUUCAAUAAGUUAAAACUUUCAACAACGGAUCUCUUGGUUCUGGCAUCGAUGAAGAACGCAGCGAAAUGCGAUAAGUAAUGUGAAUUGCAGAAUUCAGUGAAUCAUCGAAUCUUUGAACGCACAUUGCGCCCGCUAGUAUUCUGGCGGGCAUGCCUGUUCGAGCGUCAUUUCAACCAUCAAGCCCUAGGCUUGUGUUGGAGCCCUGCGGCUGCCGCAGCCUCCUAAAAACAGUGGCGGGCUCGCUAUUACACCGAGUGCAGUAGUUUACUCUUCGCUCAGGGCGUGUGGCGGGUGCUGGCCGUGAAACCCCCUACUUCUUAAGGUUGACCUCGGAUCAGGUAGGAAUACCCGCUGAACUUAAGCAUAUCGAUAAGCGGAGGA
rnacentral:rRNA from 1 species